CCUACGGGUGGCAGCAGUGAGGAAUAUUGGUCAAUGGACGAGAGUCUGAACCAGCCAAGUAGCGUGAAGGAUGACUGCCCUAUGGGUUGUAAACUUCUUUUAUAUGGGAAUAAAACGUUCCACGUGUGGGAUUUUGUAUGUACCAUAUGAAUAAGGAUCGGCUAACUCCGUGCCAGCAGCCGCGGUAAUACGGAGGAUCCGAGCGUUAUCCGGAUUUAUUGGGUUUAAAGGGAGCGUAGGUGGAUUGUUAAGUCAGUUGUGAAAGUUUGCGGCUCAACCGUAAAAUUGCAGUUGAAACUGGCAGUCUUGAGUACAGUAGAGGUGGGCGGAAUUCGUGGUGUAGCGGUGAAAUGCUUAGAUAUCACGAAGAACUCCGAUUGCGAAGGCAGUUCACUGGACUGCAACUGACACUGAGGCUCGAAAGUGUGGGUAUCAAACAGGAUUAGAUACCCGAGUGUC
rnacentral:rRNA from 1 species